GUCUCCGUAGUAUAGUGGUUAGUACGCUCGUUUGUGGUGCGAAUGACGCCAGUUCGAUUCCGGCCGGGGACA